CCUACGGGUGGCAGCAGUGAGGAAUAUUGGUCAAUGGGCGCGAGCCUGAACCAGCCAAGUAGCGUGAAGGAUGACUGCCCUACGGGGUGUAAACUUCUUUUAUAAAGGAAUAAAGUGAGGCACGUGUGCCGUUUUGUAUGUACGUUAUGAAUAAGGAUAGGCUAACUCCGUGCCAGCAGCCGCGGUAAUACGGAGGAUCCGAGCGUUAUCCGGAUUUAGUGGGGUUAAAGGGAGCGUAGAGGGGUUGGUAAGUCAGUUGUGAAAGUUUGCGGCUCAACCGGAAAAUUGCCAUUGAUACUGGCAGCCUUGUGUACAGUUGAGGUAGGCGGCAUUCGUGGUGUAGCGGUGACAUGCUUAGAUCUCACG
rnacentral:rRNA from 1 species